rnacentral:rRNA from 1 species
CCUACGGGAGGCAGCAGUGAGGAAUAUUGGUCAAUGGGCGGAAGCCUGAACCAGCCAAGUCGCGUGAGGGAAUAAGGCCCUACGGGUCGUAAACCUCUUUUGCCGGGGAGCAAGGGCCGGGAUGCGUCCCGGCCCGGAGAGUACCCGGAGAAAAAGCAUCAGCUAACUCCGUGCCAGCAGCCGCGGUAAUACGGAGGAUGCGAGCGUUAUCCGGAUUUAUUGGGUUUAAAGGGUGCGUAGGCGGGCUUUUAAGUCAGCGGUAAAAAUUCGGGGCUCAACCCCGUCCGGCCGUUGAACCUGGGGGC